GCUGUCUUUUUCUCUUUGUAAUUUUGGAGUUCAUGGAAGGGACAGGAACACAGGUAAACACUGUCAACAUAGGCAAAUAUGUUCCAAAAGGAAAAUAAAUAUGUUAUGUAGCACUGCCAGAUUAUUAGCUAUACCUUCCUUUACCUGCAGAGAUAGGGUAUUUUAUUAGAUAAUCUACUAUAAAGAUACUCUUGGAAGGAAACAUUUAUUGAAUCUGCUAUGCACAAUUUGUCGGCCCAGGUACAUUGUUCAUCAAAUAGGAAGGGACCGUCAUGGGAUGACCAUGGGAGGAUCUCUCUCGGCACAGCAGUGACACUGACACGUGAUGCUGGCAUGAGUAUAUCAGAAGUAGCCAGUGGGGACAUCAUGUGAAAUCGGACUCGACGAGCAGCGGCAGGCUUUUCCACAGCUCACUUCCAAAGCGACAGCUGUCUCCCCUCAUCCGGCCAAACAUGGGCUGAGAGGAAAACGAAAAGGAGGGAGGAAUGAAGUGUGAGUCAGGAUCAGAAAUUAACACCUGACAAGAAGCGUUCUGCUGCUGAAGUGAAAUCGAAUGUGUCCAGUGUUUCUCUACAGCUUGAGAUGUACACCAGCCUGGUGACCUUCUCCUCCUGAUGCAGGAUGUAACACGUUACAGGAGGGAAAAAAAUGCGCAGGCAGAGACCUUAUUUAGGUAUGCAAUUACGAACGUACUUUAUUUAAUGCAUGUCUGCUUCAUGUCGAUAUUUUUACCAGACAUUGUGUCCGAUAGUUUUGGAUUUUUUCACACAUUAUCAAACUUUUUAAUGGGCGAAAAACAGUAUUUACCAUCUAACAGAAACUCUGGUACAGUUAUGUAAAAACCAGACAUAAGUAUAGUAACAAAGGAAUUGCCAAACAGGAACGGACAUUUAACUUGGCUGUAUUAUAAACACUCAGAACAGUCAACAAACUUGACUAUUAACCUCCAUGGCCUGCAUCACCUCAUAAGUGGCACCAUGAUUACAGCAAAGUGAGUCCCACUUUUAACCAGGGUCGCUGUUAUUUUCCAGGCUUGUUAAGCCCUACUAUUAAAUCACUCCAAAAAUCAAAGAGGAUAACAAUUGCCCAGUGACUACGCAUCAAACUGUCGGCUAUACAUAAU
ensembl:lncRNA